UACAGAGGGGGCAAGCGUGUUCGGAUUUACUGGGCGUAAAGGGCGCGUAGGCGGCUUAACAAGUCACUUGUGAAAUCUCCGGGCUUAACUCGGAACGGCCAAGUGGAAACUGUUAUGCUAGAGUGCAGAAGGGGCAAUCGGAAUUCUUGGUGUAGCGGUGAAAUGCGUAGAUAUCAAGAGGAACACCUGAGGUGAAGACGGGUUGCUGGGCUGACACUGACGCUGAUGCGCGAAAGCGUGGGGAGCGAACAGG
rnacentral:rRNA from 1 species